rnacentral:rRNA from 1 species
UUACCAGCUUUUGACAUGUCCGGUAUGGUCGACAGAGAUGUCUUCCUUCCCGCAAGGGGCCGGAACACAGGUGCUGCAUGGCUGUCGUCAGCUCGUGUCGUGAGAUGUUGGGUUAAGUCCCGCAACGAGCGCAACCCUCGCCCUUAGUUGCCAUCAUUCAGUUGGGCACUCUAGGGGGACUGCCGGUGAUAAGCCGCGAGGAAGGUGGGGAUGACGUCAAGUCCUCAUGGCCCUUACAGGCUGGGCUACACACGUGCUACAAUGGCCGGUACAAAGAGUUGCGAUACCGCGAGGUGGAGCCAAUCUCAUAAAGCCGGUCUCAGUUCGGAUUGGAGUCUGCAACUCGACUCCAUGAAGUUGGAAUCGCUAGUAAUCGCGGAUCAGCACGCCGCGGUGAAUACGUUCCCGGGCCUUGUACACACCGCCCGUCACACCACGGGAGUCGAUUGGUCCCGAAGUGCGUGAGCUAACCCGCAAGGGAGGCAGCGUCCUAAGGAAUGGUCGGUGACUGGGGUGAAGUCGUAACAAGGUAGCC